rnacentral:rRNA from 1 species
CUACGGGCUGCUGCAGUGAGGAAUUUUGCGCAAUGGGGGAAACCCUGACGCAGCAACGCCGCGUGAGCGAAGAAGGCCCUCGGGUCGUAAAGCUCUGUCAAGUGGGAAAAAGGCCUUUCGAAUAACACUCGAAUGGUUUGAUGGUACCACUGGAGGAAGCACCGGCUAACUCCGUGCCAGCAGCCGCGGUAAUACGGAGGGUGCAAGCGUUGUUCGGAAUUACUGGGCGUAAAGGGCGUGCAGGCGGUUUGGCAAGUCAGAUGUGAAAGCCCUGGGCUUAACCCGGGAAGUGCAUUUGAAACUGCCUUUCUUGAGUAUGGGAGAGGAGAGUGGAAUUCCCAGUGUAGAGGUGAAAUUCGUAGAUAUUGGGAGGAACACCCGUGGCGAAGGCGACUCUCUGGACCAAUACUGACGCUGAGACGCGAAAGCGUGGGUAGCAAACAGGAUUAGAUACCCCCGUAGUC